AAAAAAAUUCGACGAAAAAUUCCAAUAUUACUAUCGUAAUCCUGGACUAUACUUUUAUUAUCUGUAACAUUCAAAUAUAUGAUACGAAAAUUUACAGUUUUUAAAAGAUUUUUUACUAUUCACUAUCGUAAUUUCAUUAAGAGUUUAUUGUAAUCAAUUCAAUAAGAAAUAUUACAAUGUUACUAUCGUAAAUAGUAAAAGAAUAAAAAAUAAGAUUUAAUUAUACUAUUUAUUCUUUUAUUCUUCCUUUUAAUUUACAGUGCUGCCUCUAUGUUUUUACAAUACAAGCUACAAAAAUUACGAUAGUUGGAUUGUAAAUUUUCUGAAAUGGUAUAGUAUAUGCCAUCUGAAGCGUUUACGUAUGAAAGACAAGUGUUGUCACAAACCAUGAUGUGAUGCUUGUAUGAGUGUAUAUAUAUAUAUAUAAAUACAAAUGAUGACAUCUACUUUGUCUGUAUUAUUUGUGGUUCAACUAUAUAUAUUUAUAAAUCAGUUCAUCUUUAUCCACAGUGUAGUGCAGAAAUAGAGGUUAUUAUUCAUGACGUUUUUCGGACAAUUGUAAAUAAGAAAUUUAAAAUAAAAACUGUACUUUCGUCAUUACAAACCUACAUAGAUUGUGGAAUAUAAUAAUUUGGUGGUGAUAAUCUUCAUUUGUCGACAAUGAAUAAUUUUACCCGGCUUUGCGAGAGGUAAAACAUUUCAAUAACCUCAAAUUAUGGACAUUCAACAUUUCUUUAUGAUACUGAAGUUAGCAGACGCCUAAUAAUUUUUGGAUUUUUUUAAAAAUGAUAAAUUAUAGAAAAAAAGUAUUCGAAAAAAUUGCACCUAUGGUUUUUUUAAUUUUCUACAUGUGCGUAUUUUGAAUACAAAUAAAUGAGUUAUUUAUUCAUAAAUUUUAUAUAUACCAAAAAAAUAUGUUUGAAAAAAUAUUAAAUAAAUGUUUUAUUAUUACUACUUCAA